rnacentral:rRNA from 1 species
AUUGAACGCUGGCGGAAUGCUUUACACAUGCAAGUCGAACGGCAGCACGGACUUCGGUCUGGUGGCGAGUGGCGAACGGGUGAGUAAUGUAUCGGAACGUGCCCAGUCGUGGGGGAUAACGUAGUGAAAAUUACGCUAAUACCGCAUACGAUCUAUGGAUGAAAGCGGGGGAUCGCAAGACCUCGCGCGAUUGGAGCGGCCGAUAUCAGAUUAGGUAGUUGGGGGGGUAAAGGCCCACCAAGCCAACGAUCUGUAGGUGGUCUGAGAGGACGACCAGCCACACUGGAACUGAGACACGGUCCAGACUCCUACGGGAGGCAGCAGUGGGGAAUUUUGGACAAUGGGCGAAAGCCGGAUCCAGCCAUUCCGCGUGCAGGAUGAAGGACCUCGGGUUGUAAACUGCUUUUGUACAGAACGAAAAGGUUUCUACUAAUACUAGGAGCUCAUGACGGUACUGUAAGAAUAAGCACCGGCUAACUACGUGCCAGCCGCCGCUGUAA